rnacentral:lncRNA from 1 species
ACGACACACACCAUCCCAAUGCCACCUCGAGACCGUGACUGGGUACAAGGGAGGGGCUGGGGGGGUACGGGGGGGGGGUUUGUGAGGGGUCCCUGGGGGGUAUGGGGGAUAUGGGGGGGAUAUGGGGGUGUAAGGAGUGGUAUAGGGGGGAUUUAUGGGGGGGUAUGGGGUGGUUAGGAAGGGGAUAUGGGAGAUAUGGGGGGAUAUAGGGGGGAUACUGGGGGGGUUAUGGGGGAUAAUGGGGAGAUAUGGGGGGAUAUAGGGGGGAUAUAGGGGGGAUAUGGCGGAGGUUAUGGGGGGAUUAUGGGGGGUAUGGGGGGAAAUGGGGAUAUGUGGGGUUUAUGGCACACACUCCGGAUGAUACACACCAAUCAAAUUGCCACACUCACCGUGCUGGGUAUGAGGGGAGGUGGCUGGGGGGGUCGGGGGGGGAUAUGGGGAGAUAGGGGGGGAUUUGGGGGGUUAUGGGGAAUAUGGUGGGUAUGGGGAUGUAGAGUGGUGUAGGGGGGAUAUGGGGGGUAUGGGGAUGGUUAGGGGGAAGAUAUGGGGGAUAUGGGGAGAUAUGGGGGGAUAUAUGGGGGGAUAUGGGGAGGUAUGGGGGAAUAUGGGGUGGUUAGGGGGGGAUUAAUGGGAGAAAUGGGGGAUAAUGCGGGGGAUAUAGGGGGGAAUAUGGAGGGAUAUAGGGUGGUUAGGGGAUAUGGGGGAGAUGUGAGUGGAUAGGGGGAUAUGGGGGGAUAUUGCGGGUAGGGGGGAUAUGGGGGGGGUUGGGGGGUGUACUGGUGGUAUAGGGAGAUAUGGUGGGGCUUUGUGGGGGUUUGGGGGGGAUAAAGGGGGAAUAUGGGGUGGUUAGGGGGGUUAUGGGGGUUAAUGGGGAGAAUGGGGGGUGUAGUGUGAUAUAGAGGGGGAUAUGGGGGAGUUAUGGGGGGGAUUUGGGGGAGGUUAUGGGGGAGCUAUGGAGGGGCUAUGGGGGGAUAUGGGGAUAGGGAGGUCCCUCUGGGGGGUGGUCCCUAUGGGUCUCUAUGGGGUGAGGGUCCCUAUGGGGGGUCCAUGGGGAUCUCUAUGGGGUGGGGGUCCCUAUGUGGUGGGGUCCCUCUAUGGGGUUUGCUAUGGGGUUGGCUGUGGGGUUGGCUAUGGCGUGGGCUGUGGGGUUAGCUAUGGGGUUGGCUAUGGGGUUUGCUAUGGGUUUGGCUAUGGGGUUGGCUAUGGGGUCUCUCUAUGGGGUUUGCUAUGGGGUCCCUCUAUGGGGUUGGCUAUGGGGCGGGCUGUGGGGUUUGCUAUGGGGUCUCUCUAUGGGGUUUGCUAUGGGGUUUGCUAUAGGGUCUCUCUAUGGGGUUUGCUAUGGGGUUUGCUAUGGGGUCUCUCUAUGGGGUUUGCUGUGGGGCGGGCUGUGGGGUCUCUCUAUGGGGUUGGCUAUGGGGUUUGCUAUGGGGUCCCUCUAUGGGGUUUGCUAUGGGGCGGGCUGUGGGGUCUCUCUAUGGGGUUUCCUAUGGGGUUUGCUAUGGGGUUGGCUAUGGGGUUUGCUAUGGGGUCUCUCUAUGGGGCAGGCUGUGGGGUUUGCUAUGGGGUCUCUCUAUGGGGUUGGCUAUGGGGUUUGCUAUGGGGUCCCUCUAUGGGGUUUCUAUGGGGCAGGCUGUGGGGUCCCUCUAUGGGGUUUCUAUGGGGCGGGCUGUGGGGCCGGCUGCUUUCCGCUGUGUCAGCAGCGCCCGCAGGGUGGUCGCCAUGGUGA